AGGUUAAGCUGGAAAGGGCGCACGGUGGAUGCCUUGGCACUAGGAGCCGAUGAAGGACGGGGCAAACGCCGAAACGCUUCGGGGAGCUGUAAGCAAGCGUGGAUCCGGAGAUGUCCGAAUGGGGGAACCCACUGUCCGUAAUGGGGCAGUAUCCAUGYCUGAAUCCAUAGGGCAUGGAGGGCACACCCGGGGAACUGAAACAUCUUAGUACCCGGAGGAGAAGAAAGCAACYGCGAUUCCCUGAGUAGCGGCGAGCGAAACGGGAACAGCCCAAACCAAGAGGCAUGUCCUCUUGGGGUUGUAGGACCGCUCACKRUGGGAGUGAGAAAGGAACGGGGUAGACGAACCGGUCUGGAACGGCCGGCCGGAGAAGGUGAGAGCCCUGUAGUCGAAACUUCGUUCCCUCCCGAGCGGAUCCUGAGUACGGCGGGACACGRGRAAUCCCGUCGGAAGCAGGGAGGACCAUCUCCCAAGGCUAAAUACUCCCUAGUGACCGAUAGUGCACCAGUACCGUGAGGGAAAGGUGAAAAGCACCCCGGGAGGGGAGUGAAAGAGAACCUGAAACCGUGUGCCUACAAGUAGUCAGAGCCCGUUGAUGGGUGAUGGCGUGCCUUUUGUAGAAUGAACCGGCGAGUGACGAUGGCGUGCGAGGUUAAGCCRAAGAGGCGGAGCCGCAGCGAAAGCGAGUCUGAAYAGGGCGUGURAGUACGUCGUCGUCGACCCGAAACCAGGUGAUCUACCCAUGUCCAGGGUGAAGGCCGGGUAACACCGGCUGGAGGCCCGAACCCACGCACGUUGAAAAGUGCGGGGAUGAGGUGUGGGUAGGGGUGAAAUGCCAAUCGAACUUGGAGAUAGCUGGUUCUCCCCGAAAUAGCUUUAGGGCUAGCCUCGGGUUURAGAGUCUUGGAGGUAGAGCACUGAUUGGGCUAGGGGCCCUCAACGGGUUACCGAACCCAGUCAAACUCCGAAUGCCAAYGACUUAUGCCCGGGAGUCAGACUGCGAGUGAUAAGAUCCGUGGUCGAGAGGGGAACAGCCCAGACCGCCAGCUAAGGCCCCGAAGUGCACGUUCAGUGGAAAAGGAUGUGGAGUUGCCGAGACAACCAGGAUGUUGGCUUAGAAGCAGCCACCAUUUAAAGAGUGCGUAAUAGCUCACUGGUCGAGUGACUCUGCGCCGAAAAUGUACCGGGGCUAAACGUGCCGCCGAAGCUGCGGGAUGACCGUUGGUCAUCGGUAGGGGAGCGUUCUAAGGGCAGAGAAGCCAGACCGGAAGGACUGGUGGAGCGCUUAGAAGUGAGAAUGCCGGUAUGAGUAGCGAAAACAGAGGUGAGAAUCCUCUGCGCCGAAAGCCUAAGGGUUCCUGAGGAAGGUUCGUCCGCUCAGGGUUAGUCGGGACCUAAGCCGAGGCCGAAAGGCGUAGGUGAUGGACAACAGGU
rnacentral:rRNA from 1 species